GAUGAACGCUAGCGGCAGGCUUAAUACAUGCAAGUCGAGGGGCAGCGCAGUGUAGCAAUACAUGGGCGGCGACCGGCAAACGGGUGCGGAACACGUACGCAACCUUCCUUUAAGUGGAGAAUAGCCCAGGGAAACUUGGAUUAAUACUUCGUAACAUUAUGAGAUGGCAUCAUCUUAUAAUUAUAGCUCCGGCGCUUAAAGAUGGGCGUGCGUCUGAUUAGGUAGUUGGCGGGGUAACGGCCCACCAAGCCUGCGAUCAGUAACUGGUGUGGAAGCACGACCAGUCACACGGGCACUGAGACACGGGCCCGACUCAUACGGGAGGCAGCAGUAAGGAAUAUUGGUCAAUGUACGCAAGUCUGAACCAGCCAUGCCGCGUGGAGGAUGAAGGUCCUCUGGAUUGUAAACUUCUUUUAUUUGGGAAGAAACCCGGGAUUUCUAUUCCGGUUGACGGUACCAGAUGAAUAAGCACCGGCUAACUCCGUGCCAGCCGCCGCCGCGGUAA
rnacentral:rRNA from 1 species